rnacentral:snoRNA from 1 species
CUGCAGUGAUGACUCCUUAGGACACCUUUGGAUUACUCAUGAAAACAAUUUUAAUCUGAGCAGC